GACGAACGCUGGCGGCGUGCUUAACACAUGCAAGUCGAACGGAAAGGCCCCCACCUUGGUGGGGGUGCUCGAGUGGCGAACGGGUGAGUAACACGUGGGUGAUCUGCCCUGUACUUCGGGAUAAGCUUGGGAAACUGGGUCUAAUACCGGAUAGGACCAUGGUUUAGUGUCUCAUGGUGGAAAAAUUAUUGUUUUGGUGCAGGAUGAGCUCGCGGCCUAUCAGCUUGUUGGUGGGGUAAUGGCCUACCAAGGCGUCGACGGGUAGCCGGCCUGAGAGGGUGGAGGCCAAAAUUGGGACUGAGAUACGGCCCAGACUCCUACGGGAGGCAGCAGUGGGGAAUAUUGCACAAUGGGCGCAAGCCUGAUGCAGCGACGCCGCGUGGGGGAUGACGGCCUUCGGGUUAUAAACUCCUUUCGUUAGGGACGAAGCCACACCUUUUUUGGGUGUGGUGACGGUACCUUUGUUAAGAAGCACCGGCUAACUACGUG
rnacentral:rRNA from 1 species